AAGCUCAAGGGCGUCCAAAUCUUGCCAAUGGCAUUUCCCUGUACGUUAGCAUUGACCUGAAAAAUACAUAAGUAGGGUAGCAACCUGGAGUUUGGCUGGCUGUUAGUACGUCGACGGAAAGCAGCCGGUU
ncrna:unclassified sequences Flavobacterium-1 RNA